CCGGCUAUGGCGAUAAACGGGCCGUGGAAUAAGCGUAGUGGACCCGGGGGCAGUACCCGGCGCCUCCACCAAAUUCCUCCGGGGUCGCAUCCCUUCGAUAUCGAGGGAUCGACCGAUACGAACCGAUCAUCCGGUUCGAUCCGGAGCAUGGGGGCGAAACAGGAUCGACACGCGUGGUAAAGACGGACUUUUCGCUCGGAAUGGUUCCGCCGUUAUCGGGCCAUAAUGUAGUUGCGAACGACAACUAUGCUGGUGAGGUCCGCGCCGCUGCCUAAGCGGUAAGGACUCACACACCAAUUCGCUGCGGUUAGCCCCGUAGCGUGGGGCCUCGCGGGCCGCCUAGCAACAGAAGGCCC
rnacentral:tmRNA from 1 species